UGAGUAGUAUUAGUUAUGUUCUUGAAACUUAAAAAAUUUGGCGGUAUUUUAGUCUAUUCAGAGGAACCUGUUCUGUAAUCGAUAAUCCACGAUGGACCUUUCUUACCUUUGUAUUUCAGUUUAUAUACCGUCGUUAUCAGAGAAUUUUAAAAGAAAAAUAAUUCUCAAUCUUUUUAAUUAAAAGAUAUAUCAGAUCAAGGUGUAGCUUAUAGAUAAGUAGAAAUGGGUUACAAUAAAUUUAUUUAUAUGGAUGUAAAUAUGAAAAAUUUACUGAAAGUGGAUUUGACAGUAAACCUGAAAAGAUAGUCAGUUUGAUUUUAGCUCUAAAAUAUGCACACAUCGCCCGUCGCUCUUAUUACUAAGAUAAGAUAAGUCGUAACAUAGUAGAUGUACCGGAAGGUGCAUCUAGAAUGACAGUUUAAAGCUUAUCUAGUAAAGUGUUUCAUUUACAUUGAAACGAUUAUGUGCAAAUCAUUAUAGACUGAUUAGAUUUUUCUUAUUUAUUUAUUGAGGUUUGCAUAUUUAUUGUAUUAAAAAUAAUUUUAUAAGAUAAUUUUUAGUAUUGUUUAAAGAAAAAAUAAUACAAAUGAUAGUUUAUUAGUAUUGUAGAAGAAUGUUGAAAUACGUGAAAAA
rnacentral:rRNA from 1 species